UACGGAGGGUGCAAGCGUUAUCCGGAUUCACUGGGUUUAAAGGGUGCGUAGGUGGCUAUAUAAGUCAGUGGUGAAAGCCCGCGGCUCAACCGUGGAAUUGCCAUUGAAACUGCAUAGCUUGAGUACAGUUGAAGUGGGCGGAAUACAUCAUGUAGCGGUGAAAUGCUUAGAUAUGAUGUAGAACACCGAUUGCGAAGGCAGCUCACUAAGCUGUAACUGACACUGAGGCACGAAAGCGUGGGGAGCGAACAGG
rnacentral:rRNA from 1 species